rnacentral:rRNA from 1 species
GUCUGAAUAGGGCGUUUAGUAUUUGGUCGUAGACCCGAAACCAGGUGAUCUACCCUUGGUCAGGUUGAAGUUCAGGUAACACUGAAUGGAGGACCGAACCGACUUACGUUGAAAAGUGAGCGGAUGAACUGAGGGUAGCGGAGAAAUUCCAAUCGAACCUGGAGAUAGCUGGUUCUCUCCGAAAUAGCUUUAGGGCUAGCCUCAAGUGAUGAUUAUUGGAGGUAGAGCACUGUUUGGACGAGGGGCCCCUCUCGGGUUACCGAAUUCAGACAAACUCCGAAUGCCAAUUAAUUUAACUUGGGAGUCAGAACAUGGGUGAUAAGGUCCGUGUUCGAAAGGGAAACAGCCCAGACCACCAGCUAAGGUCCCAAAAUAUAUGUUAAGUGGAAAAGGAUGUGGCGUUGCCCAGACAACUAGGAUGUUGGCUUAGAAGCAGCCAUCAUUUAAAGAGUGCGUAAUAGCUCACUAGUCGAGUGACACUGCGCCGAAAAUGUACCGGGGCUAAACAUAUUACCGAAGCUGUGGAUUGUCCUUUGGACAAUGGUAGGAGAGCGUUCUAAGGGCGUUGAAGCAUGAUCGUAAGGACAUGUGGAGCGCUUAGAAGUGAGAAUGCCGGUGUGAGUAGCGAAAGACGGGUGAGAAUCCCGUCCACCGAUUGACUAAGGUUUCCAGAGGAAGGCUCGUCCGCUCUGGGUUAGUCGGGUCCUAAGCUGAGGCCGACAGGCGUAGGCGAUGGAUAACAGGUUGAUAUUCCUGUACCACCUAUAAUCGUUUUAAUCGAUGGGGGGACGCAGUAGGAUAGGCGAAGCGUGCGAUUGGAUUGCACGUCUAAGCAGUAAGGCUGAGUAUUAGGCAAAUCCGGUACUCAUUAAGGCUGAGCUGUGAUGGGGAGAAGACAUUGUGUCUUCGAGUCGUUGAUUUCACACUGCCGAGAAAAGCCUCUAGAUAGAAAAUAGGUGCCCGUACCGCAAACCGACACAGGUAGUCAAGAUGAGAAUUCUAA